GUGGACUACUAGGGUUUCUAAUCCCAUUCGCUACCCACGCUUUCGUGCUUCAGUGUCAAAUAUGCGCCAGCGUACUGCCUUCGCAUUUGGUGUUCCCCAUGAUAUCAACGGAUUUCACCCCUACACCAUGAGUUCCGUACGCCUCUCACACUUUCAAGUCCUGCCGUUUCCUUCGCGAUUCCCAAGUUAAGCUCGGGGAUUUAACAAAAGACUAACAGAACAACCUACGCACCCUUUACGCCCAAUAAUUCCGGAUAACGCUCGAGGCUCUCGUAUUACCGCGGCGGCUGGCACGC
rnacentral:misc_RNA from 1 species